rnacentral:lncRNA from 12 species
GUCAGAGAAUGAUCCAAAUGUACCGACAGAAAAGGGCAAACAAAUAGGUGAGUGCUGGGAAUUCCCAUUUCACCCCAAAAAUUCCCAUUUCACCCCAAAAAUUCCCAAUUUCCCGCUCAUUUCUGUAAAGCCUUGGUGGUUUCUGAGCACCCAGAGGUGCUGAGUGACCCCAAAAAUCUUCAUUUUUUGGAGUUUUUCUGGUUUUUGAGGAGCUGGAGGUGCUAAGUGACCUCAAAAAUCUUCUUUUUUUUUCUCUUUUCUUCACUUUUCUUCUCCUUUUUCUCUUUUUCUUUCUCUUUUUCCUCUUUUUAUUCCUCUUUUUUUCUCAUUUUUUUCUCCCUUUUCCUGCUUUUAUUUCUUUUUAUUUUUCUUUAUUUUUAUUUCCUUAUUUAUCUCCUCCCUUUUCCCGCUUUUCUUUUUAUUUCCUUAUUUUCCUCCUCUCUCUUUUCCCUCCCUUUUUCUCCCUUCUCUCUCCCUUAUUUCUUUUUUAUUUCUCUUUCUUCCCUCCCUUUUUUCCCUCCUUUUUUUCCUCCCUUUUUCUCCCUUUUCCCUCUUUCAUUUCUUUUUUUAUUUCUCUUUUUUCUCCUCUCUUUUUUCUCCUUUUCCCCCUCUCUCUCCCUUUUUUCCCUCCCUUUUCUCUCCAUUUUUCUCCUUUUUUUCCACCUUUUUCUCCCUUAACUCUCUUCUAUUUCUUUUUUUUUAUUUCUCUUUUUUCUCCUCUCUUUUUUCUCCCUUUCUCCCUUGUUUCUCUCUUUUUUCCUCCCUUUUCCCCUCCCUUUUCUCUCCAUUUUUCUGCUUUUUUUUCCACCUUUUUUCUCCCUUAACUCACUUCUAUUUCUUUUUUUUUUAUUUCUCUUUUUUCUCCUCUCUUUUUUCUCCCUUUCCCCCUCUUUUCUCUCCCUUUUUCCUCCCUUUUUUCUCCCUUUUCUCUCUCUUAUUUCUUUUUUAUUUCUCUUUUUCUCCCUCCCUUUUCUCUCCAUUUUUCUCCUUUUUUCCACCUUUUUCUCCCUUAUCCCUCUUUCACUUAUUUUUUAUUCUUCUUUUUUCUCCUCUCUUUUUUCUCCCUUUCUCCCUCCUUUCUCUCUCUUUUUCCAACUCUCUUCUAUUUCUUUUUUCUAUUUCUCUUUUUUCUCCUCUCUUUUCUCUCCCUUUCCCCCUCUUUUCUCUCCCUUUUUCCUCCCUUUUUUCUCCCUUUUCUCUCUCUUAUUUCUUUUUUAUUUCUCUUUUUCUCCCUCCCUUUUUCUCCUUCCCUUUUCUCUCCCUUUUCCCCUCCCUUUUCUCUCCAUUUUUCUGCUUUUUUUUCCACCUUUUUUCUCCCUUAACUCACUUCUAUUUCU